AGACUAUCUGGUUGAUAGGUCGAAGGUGUAAGUGCAGCAAUGUAUUUAGCUUAUCGAUACUAAUAGGUCGAGGACUUGACCAAUAUUUAUUUGAUGUUUAUUCAUUAAGAUAUAUGUGCAGUUUUUAGAGUGUUAACUCUAUGUAAAGUACUAACUUCAAUUGAUGAAGUAUAUAUCGUAAAAACAAUUACUAUUUAGUACUUCAAAACUAUUGACAUUUAAAAAUAAAGAUGUUAAUAUAAUACUUGUCUUAUAAAUAGGCAAUAUGUGGUUAUAAUAGCAAAGAGGAUACACCUGUUCCCAUUCCGAACACAGAAGUUAAGCUCUUUAGCGCUGAUGGUACUUGGUGGGAAACUGCCUGGGAGAGUAGGACGUAGCCACGUGAAUAUUCCAAGGUAGCUCAAUGGUGGAGCAACNNNNNNNNNNNNUGACUGGGGCGGUCGCCUCCCAAAAGGUAACGGAGGCGCUCAAAGGUUCUCUCAGUACGGUCGGAAAUCGUACGUAGAGUGUAAAGGCAAAAGAGAGCUUGAUUGCAAGACAUACAGGUCGAGCAAGGAUGAAAAUCGGACUUAGUGAUCCGGUGGUUCUGCGUGGAAGGGCCAUCGCUCAACGGAUAAAAGCUACCCUGGGGAUAACAGGCUUAUCUCCCCCAAGAGUCCACAUCGACGGGGAGGUUUGGCACCUCGAUGUCGGCUCAUCACAUCCUGGGGCUGUAGUAGGUCCCAAGGGUUGGGCUGUUCGCCCAUUAAAGUGGUACGCGAGCUGGGUUCAGAACGUCGUGAGACAGUUCGGUCCCUAUCCGUCGCAGGCGUAGGAAAUUUGAGAAGACCUGUCCUUAGUACGAGAGGACCGGGAUGGACGUACCUCUGGUGUACCAGUUGUUCUGCCAAGGGCAUGGCUGGGUAGCUAUGUACGGAAUGGAUAAGCGCUGAAAGCAUCUAAGCGCGAAGCCAACUUCAAGAUAAGAUUUCCCACCGCAAGGGUAAGACCCCAGAAAGACUAUCUGGUUGAUAGGUCGAAGGUGUAAGUGCAGCAAUGUAUUUAGCUUAUCGAUACUAAUAGGUCGAGGACUUGACCAA
rnacentral:rRNA from 1 species